UUCAAAUCUGAAAAUGAAUUUCUGCAGCUUUGCCUAGUUCAAUGAAACAUUUUAUCAAACAGUUUUGAAUUUCAGUGCUGGAAACUUGAUUUUGAGUUUGGAUUCAACUUGCUUUGUUUUUCUUGCUUUCUUAAUCUUUUCUAGAGCUAUUGAUAGGUUCUAUUGGAGUGCAUCCCUUCUUAAUCAGCUUUAAUUGCUUGGUUGUNUUUAUUGAAUUUCUAGUUUUGUCCAUUGUUAAUCUAAUUCAGCUGUGUUUCUAUUCUCGGUUUCUUGGAACAUUUGGUCAUUUCUGNUUGGUUUUGGGUGUUGUUCAAUUAUGCGGUGGUGCAGAUUUAGUUUCUUGCAAGAAUCCAAAGCUAAGGUAGCAUCCUAGGGGGUGGAAGCUAGUUCACUCUCUGCGUUUUGGUGGCUGCAGUAGGCAAAUCUGAUGAUGAUAAAACAGUGCACUACCAUUUGUUUUGAGCGAAUUGGUGAGGAGUGAAUGAUCUGCAAUCCUAAACACACCAGCAGCUAUGAGAUUUGUGUGGCUAAUACAUUCCAGCCUUCCUUGACCGAGAGAAUUCCAGAGCUACAAUCUUUUCUGUUCUGUUUUUGUUCAAUUUUAUUCUAAUCAAAG
rnacentral:lncRNA from 1 species